GAUGAACGCUAGCGGCAGGCUUAACACAUGCAAGUCGAGGGGCAGCACGAUGUAGCAAUACAUGGGUGGCGACCGGCGCACGGGUGCGUAACACGUAUGGAAUCUGCCCUGUACUGGGGGAUAGCCCUCCGAAAGGAGGAUUAAUACCCCAUAAUAACUUGAGUGGCAUCACUUGGGUUUGAAAGCUCCGGCGGUACAGGAUGACCAUGCGCACGAUUAGCUAGUAGGUGAGGUAACGGCUCACCUAGGCUACGAUCGUUAGGGGGCCUGAGAGGGUUAUCCCCCACACUGGUACUGAGACACGGACCAGACUCCUACGGGAGGCAGCAGUGAGGAAUAUUGCGCAAUGGAGGCAACUCUGACGCAGCCAUGCCGCGUGCAGGAAGAAGGCGCUACGCGUUGUAAACUGCUUUUAACCGGGAAGAAACCCCAGGACGUGUCCUGGGUUGACGGUACCGGAGGAAUAAGCACCGGCUAACUUCGUGCCAGCCGCCGCGGUAACAC
rnacentral:rRNA from 1 species